CGGAGCGGCCGGCCGCAACUUGCGGUUCGAGCUAGCGCUUCCCCUACAUCCUGCCGCGAACCGUGCUACCAUUAGUUUGGUGGCGCCGGGGAUCGGCUCGUUUACUUUGAGAAAAAUAGAGUGUUCAAAGCAGGCCACACGCCUUGAAUAAGUUAGCAUGGAAUAAUAAUAAAGGACUUCGGUUCUAUUUUGUUGGUGUUCGGGACUGAAGUAAUGAUUGAUAGGGACAGUUGGGGCGGUCAGUAUUCCAAAGCGAGAGGUGAAAUUCUUAGACCUUCGGAAGACUAACAGCUGCGAAAGCGUUCCGCAAGGAUGUUCCCUUUGAUCAAGGACGAAAGUUGGGGGAUCGAAGACGAUCAGAUACCGUCGUAGUCUCAACUAUAAACUAUACCAGCUAGGGAUCGGCCAACGUUAAAUUAUUCGACUUGGUCGGCACCUUAUGAGAAAUCAAAGCAUCUGGGUUCCGGGGGGAGUAUGGUCGCAAGGCUGAAACUUAAAGGAAUUGACGGAAGGGCACCACCAGCCGUGGAGCCUGUGGCUUAAUUUGACUCAACACGGGAAAGCUUACCAGGUCCAGACAUAGUAAGGAUUGACAGAUUGAUAGCUCUUUCUUGAUUCUGUGGGUGGUGGUGCAUGGCCGUUCUUAGUUGGUGGAGUGAUUUGUCUGGUUAAUUCCGUUAACGAACGAGACCCCAGCCUGCUAAAUAGCGCGGUUGAGCUUUGCUCGGCGCGAGCUUCUUAGAGGGACUAUGAUGCGCGAUAGCACAUGGAAGUUUGGGGCAAUAACAGGUCUGUGAUGCCCUUAGAUGUUCUGGGCCGCACACGGGCUACACUGGCGCCUGCAACGAGCAUAUCAGCUGGCCCGAGAGGGUCUUGGCUAAUCUUUUGAACCGGCGCCGUGCUUGGGAUUGACCAUUG
rnacentral:rRNA from 1 species